GACGAACGCUGGCGGCGUGCCUAACACAUGCAAGUCGAACGGGAUCCAUGAGAGCUUGCUCUCGGAAGAUCUAGUGGCGAACGGGUGAGUAACACGUGAGAAACCUGCCCUGGAGUGGGGAAUAACUCGGGGAAACCCGAGCUAAUACCGCAUACCCUUGGAUGAUCGCAUGGUCGACCAAGGAAAGAUUUAGCGCUCUAGGAGGGUCUCGCGGCCUAUCAGCUAGUUGGUGGGGUAAUGGCCUACCAAGGCAACGACGGGUAGCUGGUUUGAGAGAACGAUCAGCCACACUGGGACUGAGACACGGCCCAGACUCCUACGGGAGGCAGCAGUGGGGAAUCUUGCGCAAUGGGCGAAAGCCUGACGCAGCAACGCCGCGUGCGGGAUGACGGCCUUCGUGGUUGUAAACCGCUUUCAGCAGGGACGAAAAUGACGGUACCGCAGAAGAAGCCCCGGCUAACUACGUGCCAGCAGCCGCGGUAAU
rnacentral:rRNA from 1 species